AGCUUAUUGACUUUUUAUAAUAAGUUUUUUCUGCCCGGUGGUGUUUUUUAACGGCCGCGGUAUUUUGACCGUGCAAAGGUAGCAUAAUCAUUUGUCCUUUAAUUGGGGGCUAGAAUGAAAGAAAGUUUGAAGCUUUUUCUGUCUCUUUUUUAUUUUUGUAAUUUGCUGUUCUUGUGAAGAAGCAAGAGUUGUUAAAAAAGACAAGAAGACCCUAUUAAGCUUUAUUUUUUUGUUUUUAUUCGUUUGAAUAUAAAAACAAAAAGAUUUGGUUGGGGUGACUAAAGAAGAAAAAUUUAUCUUCUUUUUUUAAAAAUAACUAUUUGUUUAACAGAGACCCAAAAUUUUUUGGUUGUAAGAAUUAGUUACUAUAGGGAUAACAGCGUUAUCUUUUCAUAAAGUUCUUAUUGAAGAAAAGGAUUGCGACCUCGAUGUUGACUUACUUUAUCCUAUAAAGGUGUAGCAGCUGUGAGGGUUGGUCUGUUCGACCAUUAAAAAAGU
rnacentral:rRNA from 1 species